UACGUAGGGUGCGAGCGUUGUCCGGAAUUAUUGGGCGUAAAGAGCUCGUAGGCGGCCUGUCGCGUCGGUUGUGAAAGCCCGGGGCUUAACCCCGGGUCUGCAGUCGAUACGGGCAGGCUAGAGUUCGGUAGGGGAGAUCGGAAUUCCUGGUGUAGCGGUGAAAUGCGCAGAUAUCAGGAGGAACACCGGUGGCGAAGACGGAUCUCUGGGCCGAUACUGACGCUGAGGAGCGAAAGCGUGGGGAGCGAACAGG
rnacentral:rRNA from 1 species